AUUGGGCGUAAAGCGCGCGCAGGCGGUUUCUUAAGUCUGAUGUGAAAGCCCCCGGCUCAACCGGGGAGGGUCAUUGGAAACUGGGAAACUUGAGUGCAGAAGAGGAAAGUGGAAUUCCAAGUGUAGCGGUGAAAUGCGUAGAGAUUUGGAGGAACACCAGUGGCGAAGGCGACUUUCUGGUCUGUAACUGACGCUGAGGCGCGAAAGCGUGGGGAGCAAACAGGAUUAGAUACCCUGGUAGUCCACGCUGUAAACGAUGAGUGCUAAGUGUUAGAGGGUUUCCGCCCUUUAGUGCUGAAGUUAACGCAUUAAGCACUCCGCCUGGGGAGUACGGUCGCAAGACUGAAACUCAAAGGAAUUGACGGGGGCCCGCACAAGUGGUGGAGCAUGUGGUUUAAUUCGAAGCAACGCGAAGAACCUUACCAGGUCUUGACAUCCUCUGACAACCCUAGAGAUAGGGCUUUCCCUUCGGGGACAGAGUGACAGGUGGUGCAUGGUUGUCGUCAGCUCGUGUCGUGAGAUGUUGGGUUAAGUCCCGCAACGAGCGCAACCCUUGAUCUUAGUUGCCAGCAUUCAGUUGGGCACUCUAAGGUGACUGCCGGUGACAAACCGGAGGAAGGUGGGGAUGACGUCAAAUCAUCAUGCCCCUUAUGACCUGGGCUACACACGUGCUACAAUGGAUAGUACAAAGGGUUGCAAGACCGCGAGGUGGAGCUAAUCCCAUAAAACUAUUCUCAGUUCGGAUUGUAGGCUGCAACUCGCCUACAUGAAGCCGGAAUCACUAGUAAUCGCGGAUCAGC
rnacentral:rRNA from 1 species